rnacentral:lncRNA from 1 species
CGUAAAUUCUACCAUCGAAUAUAUAGUUUCAUACAAAAUGCUUCAACACAGGUGCAGUGCGUCUUUGUUUUAAAAUAUAUACGAACGUUGCUACAUAUCAUGUUAGCCCUUUAUCGGAGCUUCUAGAAACUGAAUGAAGUUAUUCAAUAAUGCAUAUUACCCAUUGUGUUGCGUGUGAAAAAGGCGUGCAUUGACGUUUUCUACGAAGAAAAGUUAUGACUGUUCCAUCUCUAUGCACGGAUUUACGUGGGAGCGAAUUAGUUUGUCACCGCCUGUCCGAUGCAAAGAAAAAAUCUCGAUGAUUUGCUAUGAGUAAUAGAUGCCAUAAACAAGUUCAAUACGUACGGUAACAAGAUUGUACAAGCAGAGACCAGACCAGGAUGACGAAAAUUGACUCCUUUGCGGAAACCCAGCAGAAAGCAGGCACAGCAGAAUGUGUUUAACUUGUGGUUUAGCAGAAAGGCGUUGAGGCACAACGGCUACGUGUGGGUCACGUCUGGCCCGGGACGAGCAAAGUAGUAACCAGUACGUGUUUCGACCGGCCCUUCUUAUACCCUCAUCUUUAUUCCGCCUGCACCUUCGAACUAUGCUAGCGGAAGGAGCUAGUAGCAAGCCCUAUUACAGACAACGACCGUCUACUGAGUUGGGCAAUAAGAGAAACGGUGUUCUUUUUGGAAUGUAUUCUCCCACGAUUAGACAGUAUAAAAAGCAUGACUACCAGCAACGCCACAGAUACUUUACAAACAUCAUCAGCGUAAUUGGCCUUAGAUCAAAACUAAUGCUGUCUCUGCUGAAACCUUGUCGCAGGACACACACACUGGAUGUUUGGAUAAGAACGGAAUAAGAUGGGUGUUGUUUGUUUAUAAGCCGCAAUCUAAAUGAAAACAAAUGUUUGGACGGGAUGUUGUAUGUGGAUAGAGACACGCCUAAAUUCGUGAAGAAUAUUUGGAACGUGAACCGUGGCUAAAUGGCCUCUGUAUGUCUAUACUCAGCCAUGCUGCACACAAUAAACCAAAAAGGGCCCGUCUUUAAUGGACAGUAUUAAUUGACCGAUGGUGAUCCGACCCAUGGUGUGCUUCAAACUGGUUUUUGUUGGUAACAGUUGCACAACCUGUCUGCAGGAACUAAAGCUAGACCACGAACUAAGAAAAGAUCCGGACUCUUUUCACGUGAAGCUUUGUUUAUACGGACAAGAGCCCACCUGCUACAGCCUGUCUUCUCAUACCAGUUACUCAUAAUGGUUGAAAAGGGGCAUCUACAUCGGAUGGAUGCCUCACCAGACCUUUUAAUUGAAUAAAAAAAAAAACGAAAGCUUAGCAAGUACAGCAAAAGGAGGGGGCGGUCGGGGGAGAGACGAAACAAAUACGAUAAGCAAGGAAUUGCAGCUAACUGCCACUAUUCAGUUGCUAGGCCCAGUUACGGCUGUUACUGCAGACCCGCUGCGACCCGAUUAAACGCUGUUAUAGUGGCGGUCAUCGUGGAGAUUCAUCACUAAACACCGUAACGAUAGCAGAGAGUAUUGGGGCUGGGCACAUAUCGCCAUCACCAUUCGGAUCGCCGCCGUUGUCGUUGUAACGCUAGGAUUCGAGCAAGCAACGGAAUAAAGUUAUUCGCUGACUCCUGCGGACAUCCCAUACCCUUCCCCCGAUCACCACCCUGAUGCCUGCAGACAGAUCGUUUCACGUUCUCUGGUCGCUAGUCUACGUCAUUUUAUCGUCGCCUGCUCUACGGAACGUCCUUGUAGAGAAGCAGUACUUUCAGUAGUAAUGGAAUUACUAGGAGAAGCUGCGAUGUCGCGGUUGUAAGGGGACGAAGAAAGACGCUAGAACGAACUGAAAUAGCGGCGCCAGCAGCAGCAGUGAGGAAGAGCAGGAGGCAACAACAGAGGACCAGCAGCUUCGGCUACAGGGAGAACAGAAAAGUAAAAAACGGGUUGUUCUUGCACUUCGGAUGAGUGGCCGCGUCCCUGAUGGAAGGGCUCCAAAGCCUCAGAAGCCCUCACUCGCUCAACACAAAUCCAGGCAAGCUCCCUCCAUUCUUGCUUCUCAACUCUCUCAUACAGGCCUUACAACCCGAGUGGUGUCCUGCUCGGGCCCUGUGCGUCCUCCGCUUGUUCCGCAUGAAGAAGGCGGUUGUGCACCGGAACUCGUAUAGAGUGGUGUUAGAAGAACGCGAGCAAAAGGCUGUUCUUGUCCCACAGUCGGCGCUGCCGCUAUUGCUACUCCGCAACAAGGGACGAGAUGGAAGCAGUUCCCUUAUCGUCGACGGAAGGAAUGCGGAAUCGAUGCGAUUUUUACUGACAAUGGCUUCGCCCUCUCCGUACUGAUGUGUGCUCUUUUGUCGUUGUUAUCGACGAUGGCAUGCGCGUGCGAGAAGUCGAACGGGCGAUCUGAAGCAGAAAUACGAAAACGGGAGAACGAUCGAGCGCCUAGAAAGGAGAGCGCGCCGCUCGGAUUGCUCGAAUAAGCUGUUCCUGUUUUCCAGUUCAUUUCUUCCACAACUAGUCGCUGCUGCCGCCGCUGCUACUCACUCGCUCGUACAGUCGCAUGUUCCCCACUGCACUCCUCACUUUCGGUGGUGGCAGGGCUACUGCUCCGUGAGCACAAAUCGGAAACGUCGUGGAUGGCGCACAACCUGAACGAUUGCUGCUGGAGUAAAGAUGAGGUCGAGCUUGAGCCCAGAAAAAGAAGUCGAGAAACCGACGCUAUGAAGGAGGUUUGUGAAGAACAAAACUCUCUUCAAGUCCAAUGAGUUAGAGAGAGAGAGAGAGAGAGAGAGAGAGAGCGGCAAGGGAAUGAAGUGCAGUGAAGAUGUGGAGUGAAGGAGGGGACUUUGAAAGAUACCUGCGAGAUGUGAAUGUGACCCCCGGAAGAUGUGCACACUUGGCUACAGGUGUGUUUGCUAGGGAUAGUUGGCAAGAU